UUCUGGCUCAGGAUGAACGCUAGCGGCAGGCUUAACACAUGCAAGUCAGGGGCAGCGGGAUGUAGCAAUACAUUGCCGGCGACCGGCGGAUGGGUGCGUAACGCGUAUGCAACCUACCUUAUACAGGGGAAUAACCUUUCGAAAGGGAGACUAACACCCCAUAGUAUUGAUUUAAGGCAUCUUAGAUUAAUUAAAUAUUUAUAGGUAUAAGAUGGGCAUGCGUAUGAUUAGCUAGUUGGUAAGGUAACGGCUUACCAAGGCGACGAUCAUUAGGGGUUCUGAGAGGAAGGUCCCCCCACACUGGUACUGAGACACGGACCAGACUCCUACGGGAGGCAGCAGUGAGGAAUAUUGGUCAAUGGGCGCAAGCCUGAACCAGCCAUGCCGCGUGCAGGAAAAGACGGCCUUAUGGGUUGUAAACUGCUUUUACAUAAGACUAACCGUAUAUUUGCGAAUAUACCUGAAUGUAUUAUGAGAAUAAGGAUCGGCUAACUCCGUGCCAGCAGCCGC
rnacentral:rRNA from 1 species